CUGCCAUUCUGAUGCAGGGGUCCUGAAAGAAGUUGGAACGUUUUGAACCGUCUCAGCCAAUAAGUAUUAGAAAAUAGGUAGUCGCUUAAUGAUUAGUUUCUUCGCUGCCCGUCAACUUACCAUCCAAGCAAGCACUAUGUCUGUCAAACCAUUAGCUGAAUACGGUUAAUACCAGUAGUUCGCCAAAACAAGAGGUUAAGAAUCGUACUGAAUCAAAAGAGGUAUUUAUUCGAACCAAAUUUCAUAAUGAUAACGGUUGGAAGCCCGAAGGAAUUUUUGAAAAAUGCUUCCUGCCCAUUACCUUCAGUCGUUGCUGCGCCCCGAAAACAAAGUAUUAACAGUUAUAUAAAUUGAAGUGCAUAUCUGGGCUCCCUUCUUUUCUGUGGCCCCGUUUCCCCUUGAUUUUUAAUAAGCCCGUAGGGGGUCAUGCCCCUACUGUGAUCAGCAGUAACGGUUGUGAGUGCGCUGUCUGGAAAGGGGACGUGGGGGUCCUCAUGGUCCGAUGAUAUCAUUGGAGGGCUGUGAGGCUA